ensembl:lncRNA
GGUGGCUUAGCAGUAAAGACUCUGCCUGCAAUGCAGGAGUCACAGGAGACAUGGGGUUCAAUCCCUGGGUCGGGAAGAUCCUCUGGAGGAGGGCAUGGCAAUCCCACUCCAGUAUUCUUUUUUGGAGAAUCCCAUGGACAGAGAGUUUGGAGGGCUACAGUCCAUAGGGUCACAAAGAGUUGGAUACAACUGAAGUGACAUGGCACGCUAAAGUGUGUUUAGAAGGAAAUUAAUAGUCUUUUAAAAACUUAAAUUACCAGUAUAUAUUCCUACUAAGCUCCCCCUCAAGAAAAUAGCAAAAAAGGAAUGAAUCAAGCCUAAAUUAUAGAGAAGCAAGGAAAUAGUGAAGAUCAGAAUAGAAAUCAAUUAAUUUAAAAAAUAAGAAAAUAGAGAAAAGGACCCAAAUGCUGAUUCUUUGAAAGAUCAAACUGAUAAAACAUUAGCUACACUGAUGGAAAAAAAAGAUAAUACAAACACAAAUUAUGGAAAUGAAAAAUAAGGAUUAUAAAGAAGUAUUAUGAGCAUCGUAAUUCCAAUAAUUUUUAAAGUAGAUGAAAAUGAAGGCAUUCCUACAGAGAACUAAUUACCAAACUUAAAAAAAAUAAAUUGAAAAUCUGAACAACUAUAUAUUGAGAUAAAAAAAUUGAAUCACUAAAUAAAAUAUUGCCACAAAGAAAAAAAAAAAAAGCAAAAGUGUUAGUCACUCAGCCAUGUCUGCCUCUUUGUGACCCCAUGGACUGUAGCCUUCCAGGCUCCUCUGUCCAUGGGAUUUCCCAGACAAGAAUACUGGAGUGGGUUGCCAUGGCCUUCUCCUGGGGAUCUUCCCAACCCAGGGAUGUUCUACCCACGUCUCCUACAUGCCAGGUGGGUUCUUUACUGCUGAACCACCAGGGAAGCCUACCACAAAGAAAAGCCCAGGUCCAAAUGUCUUUACAGAUGAAUUCUAUCAGUAUUUUAAGGGGGGAGGAACCCUCAACCUAAUAAUUAGUUCAGUUCAGUUCAGUUCAGUUGCUCAGCUGUGUCUGACUCUGCGACCCCAUGAGCUGCAGCAUGCCAGGCCUCCCUGUCCAACACCAACUCCCAGAACCUACCCAAACUCAUGUCCAUUGAGUCGGUGAUGCCAUCCAACCAUCUCAUCCUAAUAAUAACUUUCUAGAAAACAGAGAAAUAAGGAACAUUUCCCAGUUUAUUUUAGGAGGCCAAAUCACCCUGGUACCAAAACCAAGAACAUCAUAAGAAAAUACAGAAGUACAGGCGGAAAUCCUUCAUAAAUUAUACAUCUUAAAGGGAUUGAUUUUAUGUGGCCAGCAGACCUUCCCAAACAGGAGGAGAGGGCUCAGGCUUAAUCAUAAAUGCAGCAUCUCAAUCCUGUUGGAUUCAGGGACGCUGAUGGAAGCGUGCCUUUAGGACAGAAAAUCAAGUUUUCAAGUAAAGGAGUUCCAUUUUUUCACUGAGGUUGCAACAGAAAAGAAAAGAGCCUUAAGCAAAACAAAGCUUUGAAGUUUGCCAUCAAAAGGACUUUCUUCUUACGGCUGUUGAAAAGCUUUUAGAGCUACAUAGACUUUUAAAUGUAAGGUGGGUUACCAUUUCCCUGGGAAGUUAAUGUGUGGG